GAGCUGGUGUCCUCCGCUCCACCGGAAGCCUGGAGCUUUUGUAAUAGGCGUCGCCAGGGAGAUGCGUGAGGGCAGGGCUACCGCUCCGCGUCUCCACCGCUGCUGAGUGACUCCCUGCCCGACUCUCAACUCUCACAAAGCAAACUUGGACUGCAGAGACAGGUUCAUCACCAGUUCUCAAAGUACUGAGUCUCCACUUUAGACUCUGCAGGACCGUCCAGCUCUGCAGACCCUGGUCGUUUCCUCGAGGGGGAAGAAACCGGAGCUGCACCUUGUUCUUUCCUGGAGCGAGAAGUUCAUGAUUUACUACAUGUACACAAUAUCUAACAGUGUCACUGCUACAGUUAGACACGCAUAAUAAACCUUGUAAUGUCCUA